UACGGAGGGAGCGAGCGUUGUUCGGAAUUACUGGGCGUAAAGCGUGCGCAGGCGGAUUUUCAAGUCAGAAGUGAAAUCCCAGGGCUCAACCCUGGAAUUGCUUUUGAAACUGGAUAUCUUGAGUCUCGGAGAGGUUGGCGGAAUUCCCAGUGUAGCAGUGAAAUGCGCAGAUAUCAGGAGGAACACCCGUGGCGAAAGCGGCUCUCUGGGACGGUACUGACGCUGAGACGCGAAAGCGUGGGGAGCAAACAGG
rnacentral:rRNA from 1 species